rnacentral:rRNA from 1 species
UAGGGAAUCUUCCGCAAUGGGCGAAAGCCUGACGGAGCAACGCCGCGUGAGUGAUGAAGGUCUUCGGAUCGUAAAACUCUGUUAUUAGGGAAGAACAAAUGUGUAAGUAACUAUGCACGUCUUGACGGUACCUAAUCAGAAAGCCACGGCUAACUACGUGCCAGCAGCCGCGGUAAUACGUAGGUGGCAAGCGUUAUCCGGAAUUAUUGGGCGUAAAGCGCGCGUAGGCGGUUUUUUAAGUCUGAUGUGAAAGCCCACGGCUCAACCGUGGAGGGUAAUUGGAAACUGGAAAACUUGAGUGCAGAAGAGGAAAGUGGAAUUCCAUGUGUAGCGGUGAAAUGCGCAGAGAUAUGGAGGAACACCAGUGGCGAAGGCGACUUUCUGGUCUGUAACUGACGCUGGUGUGCGAAAGCGUGGGGAUCAAACAGG